rnacentral:rRNA from 1 species
CGCGUAGGUGGUAGUGUAAGUCUGGGGUGGAAUCCCAGGGCUUAACCCUGGAACUGCCUUGGAAACUGUAUUACUUGAGUCAGUGAGGGGAGGGUAGAAUUCCUGGUGUAGCGGUGAAAUGCGUAGAUAUCAGGAAGAAGGCCUGUGGCGAAGGCGGCCCUCUGGCGCUGGACUGACACUGAGGCGCGAAAGCGUGGGGAGCAAACAGGAUUAGAUACCCUGGUAGUCCACGCCCUAAACGGUGGGCACUAGGUGUAGGGCUCGUAAGGGUUCUGUGCCGAAGGGAAACCAUUAAGUGCCCCGCCUGGGGAGUACGGCCGCAAGGUUGAA